ensembl:lncRNA
GUGGUUUUUCUCGAGGUGUAGCAGGAUUCUCGAAUUACGACGGGGAAUUCAGGAUGCCUCUUGUGUAGGCCCAGGGAAGUCCAAUCUUCCAUUCGAGUUGCGAAGGAAAGCUGGGGAUUGCUCUCGAGUGACUGCAGGGCCAAUAGACCUCAUCUAGGCUUGUGUCCAGAAGCCAGUGUUCCUCUCCAGGGGCGACAGGGAUCUCGGGGUUGCAUUCCAGACACACCCGGGGAGACAGGCAUCCAUCUCGAGUGGAAGCAAAGAACCCCGCUCUGCUCUCGAGUCGCGACGGGUAUCUCUUGGAGCUCACUGGGUGGACUAAAGCGAGUCAAGCCUCCUGAGGCGUUUGGAGAGAGGUCGAGAGACUGGUCUCUAGGCCAUACAGGAGACGAAGGCCCUCAAGUCGCGAUGACGGGGGAGGCUCGGGGUUGUUCUCGAGCGGCGGCCCCAGUGUGCGGUUUCUCGCGAGGUACGACGGCGAGGGUGGAGUUCGAAGAGGUGUCCGGGCAUCGGGUUCUUAUCAAGAGGGGACCGGGAAAUCGGGGUCCUUCGGAAUGUGGAACCACCCACGAGGCCACGUCUGGAAUGUCGUCGUGAGACCGGCCUCAUCCUGAGGUGCGACCGGAAGGUCGGGAACCCCUUCCAGACAAAGCAGGGGAGUCGACCCUCCUGUCCAGAUCAGGAGGGUAGAAGAGGCUCCGAGGAAGUGUUGCCGGAAAACUUCGGUGUUCCUCUUGAGGGAGACCGGGAUGUCGGGGCACUUUGUGGGUCGCAUCAAGGGUGACAAGUACCGUUUCGAACUCCAAUUCCUAAAGUGGGACUUCUCCUGAGACGCUGUAGCGGCACAGGGCUACAUCUUGCGAUGACGGGGGAACCACGUGGUUUUUCUCGAGGUGUAGCAGGAUUCUCGAAUUACGACGGGGAAUUCAGGAUGCCUCUUGUGUAGGCCCAGGGAAGUCCAAUCUUCCAUUCGAGUUGCGAAGGAAAGCUGGGGAUUGCUCUCGAGUGACUGCAGGGCCAAUAGACCUCAUCUAGGCUUGUGUCCAGAAGCCAGUGUUCCUCUCCAGGGGCGACAGGGAUCUCGGGGUUGCAUUCCAGACACACCCGGGGAGACAGGCAUCCAUCUCGAGUGGAAGCAAAGAACCCCGCUCUGCUCUCGAGUCGCGACGGGUAUCUCUUGGAGCUCACUGGGUGGACUAAAGCGAGUCAAGCCUCCUGAGGCGUUUGGAGAGAG